rnacentral:rRNA from 1 species
UUUAAAGCAACUAAGGGCACAUGGUGGAUGCCUUGGGUCUGAGAGGCGAUGAAGGACGUGGUAAGCUGCGAUAAGCCAGGGGGAGCUGCACACAAGCAUUAUAUCCCUGGAUCUCCGAAUGGGACAACCUGCUAUACUGAAGGUAUAGCACUCGAAAGAGAGCCAACCCCGGGAACUGAAACAUCUAAGUACCGGGAGGAAAAGAAAACAAUAGUGAUUCCCUGAGUAGUGGCGAGCGAAAAGGGAAUAGCCUAAACCGGGUCGGCGUGCCGAUCCGGGGUUGUAGGACUGCAUUUAGAAAUCAUCAUCAAGUAAAAUCUGCCUGGAAAGCGGAGCCAUAGAGGGUGAUAGCCCCGUAAACAAAAAUUGAUGAGGACGAGCAGUAUCCUGAGUAAGGCGGGACCGGAGGAAUCCUGCCUGAAUCUGCCAGCACCAUCUGGUAAGGCUAAAUACUCCUCAGACACCGAUAGUGAACCAGUACCGUAAGGGAAAGGUGAAAAGCACCCUAAACAAGGGAGUGAAAUAGUACCUGAAACCGUGCGCCUACAAGCGGUCGGAGCUUCGCAAGAAGUGACGGCGUGCCUUUUGCAUAAUGAGCCUACGAGUUGCUCCUCACUGGCGAGGUUAAGUUCGAAAUUAACGGAGCCGUAGCGAAAGCGAGUCCAAAUAGGGCGUUUAGUCAGUGGGGGCAGACGCGAAACUUUGUGAUCUAUCCAUGGGCAGGUUGAAGGUUAGGUAAAACUAACUGGAGGACCGAACCCGUUAACGUUGAAAAGUUCUGGGAUGACCUGUGGAUAGGGGUGAAAGGCCAAUCAAACUGAGAGAUAGCUCGUUCUCCCCGAAAUGUUUUUAGGAACAGCCUCGGAUUAUGAAGUCUGUUAGAGGUAGAGCUACUGAUUGGGCUAGGGGGCUUCACCGCCUACCAAACCCUGACAAACUCCGAAUGCUAACAGAUAUCUCCGGGAGUGAGGCUGCGGGUGCUAAGAUCCGUGGCCGAGAGGGAAAUAACCCAGAAUAGCAGCUAAGGUCCCUAAUAAGUAGUUAAGUUGAUCAAACGAGGUAGGACUUCUAUAACAGCCAGGAUGUUUGCUUGGAAGCAGCAAUUCAUUUAAAGAGUGCGUAACAGCUCACUGGUCGAGAGGUCCCGCACGGAAAAUAAUCGGGCAUCAAGCUAUGAACCGAAGCUCUAUGAUUGCCACUUGGUGGUAUAUCGGUAGGGGAGCAUUGAAACAGCAUCGAAGGUGUACGGCGACGUAUGCUGGAGCGGUUUCAAAAGAAAAUGUAGGCAUAAGUAACGAUAAACAAGGUGAAAAACCUUGUCGCCGAAAGUCUAAGGGUUCCUGAUCAACGUUAAUCGGAUCAGGGUUAGCCCGGUCCUUAGCCAAACCCGAAAGGGGUAGGUGAUGGAAAGCAGGUUAAUAUUCCUGCGCCUGCUAUACACUAAAAGUGACGGAGAAUGCUAGUCGAAUAAGCUGACGGAAUAGCUGAGUGGAUCCUUCGGGUGAAGCGUAUCGAUGAAAGUUCUUCCAAGAAAAGCGAGUAUAGCAGCCGGUACCGCAAACCGACACAGGUAGACGGGAUGAAUAUUCUAAGGCGCUCGGGUGAGCCGUGGAGAAGGAACUAGGCAAAUUGACGCUGUAACUUCGGGAUAAAGCGUACCGUCUUCGGACGGUCUCAGUAAAAUGGUUCAACCAACUGUUUAACAAAAACACAGGGCCCUGCAAAAUCGAAAGAUGACGUAUAGAGCCUGAUACCUGCCCGGUGCUGGAAGGUUAAGGAAGG